AUUGAACGCUGGCGGCAUGCCUAACACAUGCAAGUCGAACGAGUGGCGGACGGGUGAGUAAUGUCUGGGACACUGCCCGUUGUAGGGGGAUAACUACUCGAACCGGUUGCUAAUACCGCAUACUAUCGGAUCUGCCCAGAUGGGAUUAGCUAGUAGGUGGGUGAAAGGCUCACCUAGGCGACGAUCCCUAGCUGGUCUGAGAGGAUGACCAGCCACCCUGGAACGGAGACACGGUCCAGACUCCGACGGGAGGCAGCAGUGGGGAAUAUUGCACAAUGGGCGCAAGCCUGAUGCAGCCAUGCCGCGUGUAUGAAGAAGGCCUUCGGGUUGUAAAGUACUUUCAGCGGGGAGGCGUUACCCGCAGAAGAAGCACCGGCUAACUCCGUGCCAGCAGCCGCGGUAAUAC
rnacentral:rRNA from 1 species